CUCUCAAAUAUUUUAGCUUUAAAUUGAUAGAUUUUUGAGACAAAUACAAUUAAUAACAUAUCUAAAUACAAUAUAUCAAAAUUAACCUCUUAGGAUUUUAGAAUAUUCAAAUGGUAACAUAAAAAGCCUGCAGAAUAAAACAUAGUUAACCAUGUUCACAGCUCAUUAUUUAGUUGUGUAUCUUGCCGAUGCCUCCAGUUUAGUUCCUUUUGGAGUUCAUGUAAUUCUUUUAGUUGGUUCUCAUUGGAUUGUUGAUAUUUCAAAAUCGGUUAACUACUGGUGCCUCAAAUUCAAUAUGAUAACAACCAUGUCUUCAAGCUGCAAAACACGACCAAACGUCUUGUGCAGGUUUGAUUCUGCUGUCUACUCCUUCGAAACACAUUUCUGUGAUGUUCGUCUAAAUCGAGUUCUAUACGACAUGGCAAGAUGAAUCUUAGAAAACUCUCUAAGUCAAAUAGCGUUAAUGAAAAUCAAAUUUAACUAGACAAAUGUCUAUGUGUCAAGCAAAACGGGUGCAUGUCCGAUUACGACGAUUCAUAUGAAAGAAUGAUAUGAACAACGAACGUCCUCUGUUUGUGCGGUGAUAUGUACUAAGUAUGUGUGAGUUAACGACAAAUUCGCAACUAAACAACAUUCUUCUCUACAAAUUUCUUAAAUGAUGUCUUCAACUUUUCAAAUUCGAAUCUCACCAUGGCUUGGUUUUCUGUUUUUUUUCUUUGCAUUAGUGCUACGUAUCAUAAAAAGUUAGUUCGAUGAAGGCAGACACAUAAACUAUUGCUGGACACUGUUUUCGGUUUGGAAAACUUUCGUUUCCUUCUUGAAAACUACUCUUGAAUCAAUAUUUUUUUUGGCCACUUUACCUACACAGUUCCACCAAAAUUAUUCCUGCAUUUUACAUUGUAUCCCUUUUACAAUCAGUUUAGACAUGCAACCCGUACCGGACUUAUUAUUGUUGUUACUGAAUGAUUGCAAGUUUUAUUUAUUAUCAUCAAAAUCUCUUUCGAAUAAAUAAAAUGUCUCUUACAUAAACAUACGAAAUAAAUCUUGGCAUAUUUAUACUCUAUAUAAAGUGUGUUCACCCCAAAGUCAACAUUCAAAUAUCUCUAUCCAUAUUUGCUGUUUUGAAGGCAUAUGAUUUCAAUAUGGUUUAAGAUAUUCUAUUCACGUUUUGUGUUGCAAAAUUUCCUUUCAUUGAGAUGCAACGGUUGUAUUUCUUUAGAAUCACCCAGAACAUACUGUCAUUCGGUAUUGUCGCAACCCACAUAAUUUCUAAUCAGUAGCCGUUUACAAAUUCUCUACUCGAGUACUAUUUCAUACCAUUUCAUGCUUUAUGCCUUGUUAUUUCAGUGUAGACAGCUACCCUAUGUGUACGUUGUUCUUCUCUAAGAGACCGCAAAUAUAUUGAAUGUAAACCGAAUUUAUAAAAAUAUUUAGCAAAUUUCUCGGAACACUUACUAACGUGAGUCAAUACAUUUUCAAGUGAAAUAACGGUUCUAUAGAUCUAGAAUACAAAUCUACGAUGUAAAUUUUUGUAUUGCAUGUCA
rnacentral:lncRNA from 1 species